UACGUAGGGGGCAAGCGUUGUCCGGAAUCAUUGGGCGUAAAGAGCGUGUAGGCGGUCCGGUAAGUCGGCUGUGAAAGUCCAGGGCUCAACCCUGGGAUGCCGGUCGAUACUGCCGGACUAGAGUUCGGAAGAGGCGAGUGGAAUUCCCGGUGUAGCGGUGAAAUGCGCAGAUAUCAGGAGGAACACCAAUUGCGAAGGCAGCUCGCUGGGACGUUACUGACGCUGAGACGCGAAAGCGUGGAGAGCAAACAGG
rnacentral:rRNA from 1 species